UUUUGGCCCCAGCUAGGCUGCCAAGCAGACCCCUCCCCCUGCUCUGGGAAGUCAGGUCCUCCUGGCAAGGUGCCCUUGAGGAAUAUCCUGCAUUACUACCCACACCCACCUCAGCUCGGCCUUUCCCGAGGUCAGAUUUCCCCGGAGCCAAAACAAUGCGAGCAAUCGAAUGCUCACUCACGCACAAAGUUCAGAGAGUGUCUCCCUCAUUGUUGCACAGAGCAGUUUCAUUUCCUGAGGAGCCUGACUUACUGCCCUCUGUUCCCCCCACUGUGCCUGUCUGCCUCCUCUGGCAGCCCAGCUUGCUGCUUGCUGGUCUGUGAGGGCUCUCUCUUCACAGGCAGACCCCUCGGGGCCACCACGCAUGGAGGGACAGGUGGAGGGGACAAGCUGAGGGGUACUACAGGUAUGAAGGAUUCCAGGCAGAGUGCCCCCCAAUCCCUGCCUCAACUCCUUUGCUCCACUCCUGACCUGUGUCUGUGGCUGCAGGAUUCUGAGGAGGGCAGGAGGGCUUGCCUCCAGGGUAAGGACCCACACCCCACACCGUGGCUGGGAAAUGCCAUCAGCCCCUUCCAGAUGAUGCUAGAUCAUUCUAGAGACAUUUCCAACUGUCCCGGGCUGUGAGCACCCAGACUAUUUCAGUUGGUGAAAUCAGGUCAGGCGUGAAGCCUCAUUCUCAGGCAAGGGGAGCCAGCACCUGCUGUGGCUAUGGCCUUGAGAAGCCCUCCACAGGGCUGGAAGUUUUCCUUUCAGCGGAACCAGAGGAGAGAGCUGAGCUGUCUGAAUAUGAUGAUGAUAUAUACUCAGAUACAGUGGCACCUGCCUCCGCUACAGGGAAGACAUAGCUACAGGUAACCAGCCCAGGGCAUAGAGGUCCACAGAGCAGGGGGCAACUGUCUCACUGUCAGUCCAAAGUGGCUAUGACUGUCCUACUGUGUGCAUUCUUAUGGUGCCCUCUCCAUGUUUACCUGGCUCUACCACUUGGCAUCUCACUGGGGUGGGAAUGGUCAGCUACCUGGGUCUGACCACUGUCUGAGGUUGGCAGGAGGAACAGAAGCCUGGCUCUGCUUUCUACUCCUUGAGGUAAACUUUAAAACAGGCCUUCUCAUGAACACGGUGGCAGGCUACCCCUAUCCUGUUCUUCUUUCCAGGUUCCCUUGAAGAAAGGUCUGGGUUGCUGUCUCUUGAAUCAGGGUUCCUCCCUGUUGGACUCUCAUCUUGCUAGGACAGUGGCCAACAGCCUAGAGUCAGGUGUUUACCAGGGACCAGGACAAAUAGGUGAGAGUCAGCCUUCUUGCCAAAUUCACUGAGGGAUGGGGAAUAUGGCCAGUGUGCGUGUGUGUGCACAAGUGUGUGUGUGUGUGUGUGUGUGUGUGUGUGUGUGUGGUCAGUCUAAGGAGCAAGCCAAUUGCAAAAUAAAGGCAAAGUUACCUAAUCGUCUGUGCCUUUGCCUUUUCUUUCUUCCUUCCUUCCUUUUGUCCUUCCUUCCUUCCUUCCUUCCUUCCUUCCUUCCUUCCUUCCUUUCUUUCUUUCUUUCUCUCUCUCUUUAAAAAAAGAUUUAUUUAUUUAUUUAUUUAUUUUCUGUAUGCGAGUACACUAUAGCUGUCUUCAGACACAGCAGAAGAGGGCAUCAGAUCCUAUUACAGAUGGUUGUGAGCCACUGUGUGGUUGCUGGGAAUUGAACUCAGGAACUUCUGAAAGAGCAGUAGGUGCUCUUAACUGUGGAGCUAUCAUCUGUAUGAUAGGAAGCUCAUAUCCAAAGAUACGUAGGCAAUGGAGUGAUGUGAGUCUGAACUGGCCUCCUCUGAAUACAUAAUAACAAUGAUACCCAUUCUCUAAUGUGAGAAACUGAGUCAGGCAGCAGCCAAAUAUGGACAGAGUUCUGUAUGAGGAAUUUUGAGUUGGGUAGGAAGCCAGGUCCUCCCUCAGACCUUACUAGAGCUUUCUCUCAGAGUUCCACCAGCACUGGGUUUUACUCAGUGGCCUGGAUCUCCAACCCCAGGUAGGGAUGCUACCUGGGAAUCUGCUGUUGUGCUAGUUACAAGCCAUGCCUUAGGAGCUACUGGUAACUGAAGGACUUCAGAAAUCCUUUUGCUACAGCCCAAUUGCUGCUGAAACUGUCCCGAAGGUUAGUGGUAAAAAUAGAUGAUUAUACAGGCGUUAUUAAACUAUUUAUAGAGUUUGAGAAAACCCCUCGUAAUGCUCAUGAAAAGAUCUGGCGUAUACUGGGGAUUCCAGAAUGACUCAGUCCUUAGUCCAAACCCACCCGUGACGUUAAACUCUACCGCAAAUGAAGUCUUCAAAAGUCACGCUAACAGUUACAAGGCAUUAUCCCUUGAAGAAGUUCCAAAGGAAGUGUACACAUCUUUGUAGCAAGCCAUAUCCUAGAAUGUUUCCCGGGUGACAGUUAAGCAAUAGGCCUGGGUGAGGCUCAUUCAGAAACAGCUGGGAAGAGGAAAAAGGACACAACGUUUGCAGGCUUGGGGAGGGCCAACAGGCUUGGGAGCUGGGGAUGUUGGUUUGUAUGGCCCGGUCUUCAAAGACACAGCUGGCCAUGCUUGUGCUGGCUCCAUCUGAGCAGACCUCUAAUAAAAUGUGUACGUUUGCACCUACUCAACUGGACAUGGUGAUGUUCUGCUCUGUACAGGCUGGCAGGAUCGGGGUGCACCUAAGGGGGUGCUCAAGCCACCUUGAUGAGUCCUGAGUUCUAAUCUGAAAACCAGAUGCGUGAGGGGCAGUGGGUGAGUAGAAUCAUAAUUCCCGGUUCCCAGGGUUCCAGAGGCUAGAGGGUCUGUAUCAAAGGGCUGCACAUACACCCUAGGCUGAGUUUGAAACAUAAAUACUGGGCUGGAAAGAUGACUCAGUGGUUAAGAGUACCGACUGCUCUUCUGAAGGUCCUGAGUUCAAAUCCCAGGAACCACAUGGUAGCUCACAACCGUCUGUAAUGAGAUCUGACGCCCUCUUCUGGUGCAUCUGAGGACAGCUACAGUGUACUUAGAUAUAAUAAUAAAUAAAUCUUUAAAAAAAGAAAAAAGAAAAAGAAAUACUACUGUGGAAAAAAAGAGGCAUGCAAACCACUGUGUAUCAAAAUACAUACCAUAACGUAAAAGCCAAGCAGGCCUGGAACAGACUCCUCACCUGACUCCCAGUGAACCUAAUCUCCUUGUGUGGAAAGGAAGCUGUUGUGUAAGGUCCCCUGAAGAUUGAAGCAUCUCCCUCUUCAGGGAAACUCAAAACAGGAAGGCAAACUCCAAGGAGCUUCAGGAAGUCCUUGAAAUUGACCAGACUUAGACUCACUAGGCCCUUCUUAGCCAGAGUAAGCAACAAAAGCCAAGAGCCCCGAAGACUCUGAGACCAGGCCAGCUGCCCAGAAGAAGCAGAAACCAGCCAAACUGCCUGGAAGAGGUUAGACCAACACCUGGAGAAGAACCCUCUCCAACCUGCUGAGCUGCCUACAGGCUGUGCACUGCACUCCAGGUUCCCCACUUUGUGAGCUGUCACUCAUGCUGGGGUGGGCUUUGGAGAUACAGCUGUCUUUGAGUCAUUUCUGCCCCUGUAAGUAACUCCGCACCCACAUUCCCUAAAUAACCCCAAUAACGGAUUGCUUCGCUAAGCUGGACAUUGGUGUGUCCAUACUAUGGACUAUGGUGGACUCCCUAUCUAGAGUGAUUAGACGUGCAUGUCCCCAUACAAAGUUCUGUUACACAACUGAAUCAGAUGUGGAGAGAAUGCACAUCUCUUGGCCAGGCAUGGUGGGGAUUGAUGUCGGAUUGGCAGAGAGGCAUUAGACCAGCACACAGUUGUUAAUACUGGAGACUUAGGGUACAGGGCCAGCAAGCCUGAGGGCUACGGUUAGCACUAGUUUCUGCGUGCAUACACUAUCUCCUUGGCUAAACUGUAAAUCACUUGGAUGUCUUCUUCCUCGCUGCCCCUCUCACAUGUCUAGCAGAUCAGAGGCAGGAGAGUGGCGGCCUUCAAGAUAAUCCCUAUGAUGGAUAUACUAAGUGAAUGCCUGGGUAAGUGGACUGGUUUCGGAGCGUUCUAGGGUGCCAGAGCCUUCCUUCCUCCUUUGGCUCCUAGGAAACUGGCUCCAUGUUAUCGUUGGCUAUUCUCUUUUCCUGCCACCACCUCCAUCUUCUCUAAGCAGGGCCUUCACUCUUGUUACAGCCUGCUCUUGCAUGGCACAUGGUAUGACGCUCCAUGCGUGCGUCUGUGUAGGCUCAGUGCCUCCUGCAUGGGACCUGCAAACUCCAGGGAAUCUGACCACUGGUUUGUGUGCCAAUAUCCAUCCUUUAGGUAGGAGAACACAGGCCCUCAGCAAGCACUAAUGCAUUAACUGGAGGAGUAAAUGUCGGAGGCAGGAAGAAUGGCAGGUCCAAGGGAAAGAUGUUUCUGCAUAGGAGGGAGGUAGUUUUCUGGUCCCCUUUCUAUGGGAUAGACUUCUUGCUUAGCUUUGGUAAAAUACCAGAGAAGCAGGAAAAAAACAAAAAAAACAAAAACAAACAAACAAAAAAACCCAAAACUAGUUGAUACUGGCUUUGAGCUAUCAAAGAUUUGGUUUGUAUGCACAUUGGUGUUUUGCCUAUAUGUAUACACAGAUAUAGAUAUAUAUGUGUGAGGGUAUCAGAUUCCCUGAAACUAGAGUUAAAGGCAGUUGUGAGCUGCCACGUGGGUGCUAGGAAUUGCACCAGGUCCUCUAGGAAGAGCAGCCAGUGCUCUUAACUGCUGAGCCAUCUCUCCAGCCCAAGAAAAUGUCUUAAGGGAAACGUAGCUGCUGGGAUGGGAAAUGUAUCCCAUGUUUCUUCAGAGUCUCACUUGCAUUUGUGCACAUGGAAGAGAGGCCCCACUGGGUACCCAUCUGGAGACCCAAGAAGAGAUCAGAAAGGGGUUGCUAUCCUCAUUAAGAGAUGCUUCGGUUGAGAGAUCAGGAAACAUUAUCUUGGGACAUUGUAACUUUUGGGCAAAUUAUUUCCCUCAUUUGGUCUUAGUUUGGUUAUCCAAUAGGAUAAAUCCUAUUGGGCCCAUAAUUUGUUGUGAAGGUUGAAUGGGACCACAGAUACCCAAUCAUAUUGGGAGAAGAGAGAACACUCAGCGAAGCUGGGUGUUCGUGUUUAUGGCCAGAGAUCACACCUUGCUGACUAGGUUACUAAGUCCCAGCUUGGCUUGGCCUUUCAUGACAUGCAUUGCUGACAGACACAGUGAACAGUCAUGUAGUCAUGUGACUCAAUGCUGCCUACUGGUAUCAUUUAUUCUUUCAAGUCCCUGCUUUUGUAACCAGGGUGCCUCCUGGCAGGACACACGCUGAGUGGUGAGAAAGGCCACAUCUGCCUUGAGUCUGUGCAGCUUCGCCUCACAGUGACAUUGCUGAGACUUAAGUCUAGGUUUAUCGCUUUCUGAGGGGAGCUGACCCAGUGCUUUGGAGGCCUCUAUCAGUUUGGUGCCAGUCAAAGCGCCAUUCUCAUCCCCUUUAGCACUGUGUCUGCUGGAGACACAAUGACCCCCGAAGAAAUCCACUGUCUAGAGACAGGCAGCGUUGCAACAGACUAUGACUGUCCCCUUUAAGACUCCUGUUGACACCAACCAAAGAGUACACAUGGCUUCAGCUGCAUAUAUAACAGAGGAUGGCCUUGUCUGGCAUCAAUGGGAGGAGAGGCCCUUGAUCCUGUGAAGGCUCGAUGCCCCAGUGUAGGAGAAUGUCAGGGCAGUGAGGUGGGAGUGAGUGGGUGGGUGUGGGAGCACCCUCAUAGAAGCAGGGGGAGGGGGCAUGGAAUAGGGGUUUUCCGGGGGCGAGAAACUGGGAAAGGGGUUAAUAUUUGAAGUGUAAAUAAAUAAAAUAGCUCCCCUCAAAAAGAACAACAAUAACAGCAACAAAAAAGAUUCCUGUUGAAAUCUGUUUGCAAGUUAAAUUUGAUGUUGGAAGUAGGGUCUUUGAGCAUUGGUUAUUAUGGGCCUGAUGCCUUUUCACAGAGGUGAUAUAAUAGUUUGAAUAAAACGGCCCCCAUAAGCCCAUAGGGAGUGGCAUUAUUAGGAGGUGUGGCCUUGUUGGAGUAGAUGUGAUCUUGUAGGAGGAAGUGUGUCACAGGGGGUGGGAUUUAAGGUCUUAGACAUUCAAGCUUGGCCAGUGAGUCUCUGUCUCUUCCUGCUGCCUGCCGAUCCAGAUGUAGCACUCUCUGCUACUUCCACAGCUCCAUGGCUGCCUGCAUGCCACCAGGCUUCCCGCCAUGAUGAUAAUGGUCUGAACCUCAGAAAUGGUAAGCCAGCCCUAACUAAAUGCUUUCCUUUAUAAGAGUUGCCACUGUCAUGGUGUCUCUGCACGGCAAUAGAAUAAGACAGACGGUGAGGCCAUGUGAGAACUGCCUGUUACAGGGAGUCUACCUCACACUUUCUUUCCUCAUGAGCUCGCUUGCCCUGAAGUCUUCUGUCAUCUAACAAGGUAGCACGAAGCCCCUCAGUAAAGGCCAUUCCCUCCUCUUCGCCUUCCGGCUUCAGAACCGUGAGCUGAAGAAAGAUGUCCAUAAAUGAGUUUGCUUCAUUUUGUUAUAGCAACAGAAAACAGUCAAGGACACACACUCCCACAGCCCUGGUGAGGCCGCCUCUUGGAACACGGUAAGACUCAGAAACACUGGGAAAAUGUUAGGUAUCACACCCAAUAAGGAAACUUUAAUGUAAGGUCCUCCGCAGCGACACGCUGAAACUGUCCUUAGAGACAUGGGGGCUGCAUGUAGCAUGUACUGGCAUGUCCAGUGACUGCACUGUCAGAUCCAACACCCCAGGAUAGGGUGGAGAUUACCUGCCCUACCGGCAACCUAGAGACUGUGACCAUUUUUUCCUCUUCCAUAGAUGGCAGACACAGAACCAUGGCUUUCUGAAAGGCUGGGCUCAGGAUCCGACCGUCUGGGUUUAGGUUGUGAUGUCAGCACUAUGAACACAUCAGCUGUCACGGGUCCAACUGUAUUUUUAAAUGUGAACAGCCUCGCAUGCUUAGCACCACAGACAAUUCAAUUGCCUUUACCAGAUGAUGCUGACAAAUACCUCCCACUCCAGUGUCCUCAGAUAAAAAUAACCGCAACUCCCUCCUAGGCCUGCAGAAGAAGGGGACAGGAAGCUGGAGGGAUGGGUAGUGUCUGGCACCUCCUGGCCCAGCAUGCCCCUAGGGGUGCUGGCUCCGCUGCCCACAGAGGAAGUGCUGUUCCUCCACGUCAUGCCAUGCUGUAACCGUGGGCAGAGGUCUGCUUACUCCUUCCACGUGAAGUUGGCCCUGCCCAACACAGGGCUGACGUCCUUAGUAAGUACCCAAGGACAGUGCAGAGAGCUAGGUAAGCUCUGGCAGGUCACCUGGCCUUGCUGAGGUCCCUCUGCCCAGCAGUUCAUAAGAUGUACCCCACCACUUCUCACAUGAACUCUAAGCAUCCAAUUCCUAUCCUAGAGGGAGAGAGGGCAGCUUCAGAUCCACAAGGGCAGGCCUCACUCCAAGGGGUGAUGCUUCAAUGGAGACCCUCUUGGGCAUCUCUCACCUGGGAAUGCCAUAGCACCCGAGGCCAUGCUGUCAGCCCUCCUCUGCUAGAAAGGCUGUCUCUCCAUGAAGUUACCAGUCAAACUACAGGACACAUAUCCACAACAAGUCAUGCUGGCCCAUCUCAGCCGAUUUGAAACUUGCCUUUUUGUGAGAGAAGCAGGACUCUAUAGACAGGAGGCUCUGCAGGCAAGAAUCCAGAGGUUUUUGACUCCCCUAGGGUAAACCAUUAUAGGAAAUAGUGGUGGCUCUGGGGACACUUUGAUAAGGACACAGUAACUUUCCUCAGGCUGAGCACAUCUGAUGCAAACUGUCAUGCAGGACCCUAAGCCACACUUCUCACUAAGAUAAAACCACUAGCUCCCAAGACCCCUUAUAUAUCCACAAUCUUGGGGCUUUCAGGGAGUACUAUCGCCUAUUCCAGAAACUGAGAGUGUGAAUUGGCGUCUGCUCUGAGUUUUCCCCAGGGAUGGCUUGGGUGGCUAUGAGGUACACACAUUGGAGUGUCUGGGCAUAGAUAUUAGGUGCCAUCAGAUAGUCAGGUGGCCUCUGCCUUCUGUUCAUGCAGAUUAGCUUUCUGCUGUAAUGGUCUCAGCCAACUUCCUCUUCCACAGACUCCUGUUGAUCUAAAAUCAUAUUUUAGAUAUGAAAUAUUUUGCCUUUUUUGACACUAGUCUGUCAUGGUUGUUUUCCUGACAAUCUACAGUACCGAUGACUUAUACCAUAGGUACCAUGAUACCUGAUGGAGGGCUACGGACACCAGAUGGCUUGGCCUUUCCAAGAUGGGGCUCGAGCUCAUGUUGGGGGGGGUGUGGAUUUCCAUUUCCUACAAACAUUCAACUCUUACACACACAAAAAUUAGGGUUUCUCUUAAAAGUCUGAAAUACUACCUCACAUGGAAUUCUCCAUUGUCAAAGAGGAAGGUACCUGUCCUCAAGGGCAGAACCUGAUUGGGGGAUCCAGAAGACAGCAGUUUUGUUACAACUUUCCAAGUCAACCCAUGUCUCAAAAGCCACAAGUUAUCAAGACCCCUGGACACUUGGAGAAAUCAAGUUGGGUAGAAGGUUAGACAUUCAGCAGAGUCGAGGGGACUCUGAGGGGGCCUUGGUACCAGAGAAUGUCAGUCAUGUGUCCCGGUGAACUUCCCAUGAAGAAGCAUGUCAUGGUCUCUUCUGCAAAAACUAACUUUGCCACGGGGGACCAAAAUAGUGGGCCAGAAUGGGCUUCCAGACCAUGGCUCACUCUUAAAGUGACAGUAACAUCCACUGAUGCAGGGAGUGAAGGGAAGACUAACCACUUAGGAUUUCCACGUGGUUACCAAUGCCCUCCCAGAACCAGAGCCAGCUCAUCUGGAGGACAGGUAGUGCUACAAGCAUCAUCUGUCCACUCAUCUACACCCUGCCCCACCUGCCUUGGGUCUCUCCUUCUGUGGACACUGGUGGGUCUGUCUGGUGCUCCUCUGUCAGAUGCUGGUUCUAAUGCAGUAUGUACAAGGAGCCCAGGGGGAAUGAACGUCCUAAGCUGUGCCCCGAGGUCUGCUGAACAAUCGGGGAAAACCUACAGCGUUUUGACAUACUUGGGUCUGACAGGCAUCUCCAGAAAGCAUCUGUUUCAAUCCUACCUGCUUUCAAUCAGCUUAGGUGCUCUGUGAGGCUGCCCUAGUUUUAAAUCUAUUCUGGGACGAGCAUCCCUAAACUUCCCUCCGCAUCCCUAACGUCCCUAUAUGCACCAUGUCAAGAGGUUGACUACAGAGAGGCCCAUCAGCCUGCUUAUCCAGAGCCGCCUGUCAAAGCACAUCUUCUCCUGGCCUCACAGUCCCUCCUCUACCCUGGGGAGGCACCGGAGGCCUGGCUUGUCAGAUGCAGGCUUGGGCGAGGGUCCUAACUUUUCAUUCGUGUCUCUUAGCUCAGCUUUUGUCCUUCCAUCUUGACUGUGCUAGACCUACACUGUCCUUGUCUGGGGUGACUCAGCCUCACUCAGGACUCACCCUGUCUCAGCUCUGUACCUAGCUUAGAGGGAACAGAUCUGCUAAGGGAGUGGAAAUGGGAUAAAUGAGGUAGCAAGACCCCACGGUAUCCUCUUGGGGCCUGGAAGACAUUCUUUGGGCCAUUAAUCGGUAGGUCCAAAGGAUCCCAAAGAAGUCUGGGUUUCCUCUCUCUUCUAGAGAGGCAGUGAUAUGGCACAAAAUCUGUUGCAGAGCAGGGAAGACGGUAGCAGGGGUAGAAGGGACCCCAAUUGUACUCAAGUGUUGAUCUCUCACUGCCGGUACUAAGUGCUCUUGGGCGGCUGGGAGUUCCUCUCGGGAUCCUGUCUGUAAGCUGAACUAAGUAGUACAGUACGUCAGACAUCUUCCAUAUGCUUAACCAUCUCUCUAGAAACACACGGAACGGUGAAUAGGUGGAAUUAAACCAGGAAUUUGGGCCAUUUUUGAGCAACUCCAUCUUCCUUUUGUAUUUGUGCAGUGACCUCAAAGAAGUAUCUGGAAGCCAUUUAUGUGUGUGUGUUUGGGGGGUGGGGGUGGGGGAGUCAAUGAAGGUGAACUUCAACUUGGCUAUUUAUUAAAAAGUCCACUGGAGCCCAUGACCACCCAACAUACUAUCUCCUACCUGGGCACCUUCAUUCUUUGGUAUUCCUAUAGUUGUCCAAACCUUAAGAUAUCCAAAUCCUUUAUAUAAAACGGUACUGUGUUUAUG